CAGUAGCCACGGUAAUACGGAGGGGGCUAGCGUUGUUCGGAAUUACUGGGCGUAAAGCGCACGUAGGCGGCUUGGUAAGUUAGAGGUGAAAGCCUGGAGCUCAACUCCAGAAUUGCCUUUAAGACUGCCGAGCUAGCAGGUGAGAGAGGUAAGUGGAAUUCCGAGUGUAGAGGUGAAAUUCGUAGAUAUUCGGAAGAACACCAGUGGCGAAGGCGGCUUACUGGCUCAUACUGGACGCUGAGGUGCGAAAGCGUGGGGAGCAAACAGGAUUAGAUACCCCUGUAGUCCCUGUCUCUUAUAC
rnacentral:rRNA from 1 species